ensembl:snoRNA small nucleolar RNA SNORA81
CUCUUCAUUUACUCAUCAAAUAGGGCAAUUUCUUUUGUAAUAAUGCUAGCAGAGUACACACAAGAAGAAAAGUAACUGCACUAGACCCUAAAGACUGGGGUGGACCUCUUUCUUAAUGUCCAGUGUCCUUUGUCUUAAGGUUUGGUGCAAUAUGU